rnacentral:ribozyme from 1 species
AAAAAAAAGAAAAAAAAGGAAAAAGAAAAAACGAAGUCGCCCUGCUUGACUUUUCGAUUUCAACCACGACGACAAAGGGGAUUUCAGGAUACUCCUUUUUUUUUUCUUUUUUUUCCCUUCCCUCUUCUAUUUGCUGAUGU